rnacentral:lncRNA from 1 species
UUUUACAUUAGAGUAUAUAUUCCUAGAUGCUAAAUCCCUGAGAACAACCUUUUCUACCCACUUUUGUUUCUUCUGGUGAUACCUAUUUACAUUUUGCUUUCAAAGGGUGCCCAACCACUGGAUGCCAUACUUGUGUUAUUAGCUAUCUCUAUCUGCCUAAGCCUCUGGUUUGCUUCCUCUUGGGAAUUAAAAAUAAGAUUUCUCUUGAUUUCAUUGAAAAAUCAUCAUUCUUUCAGCUUUGACCAUAUUGUUUUGAUAAAAACAGCUGAUUUGUAUUAUUGAACAUCUUUCUCAUUUUUCUUUCUCCAUAAGGAGAAAUUCAUCACGAUUUAUUACCUGAACAUUUGUGAAACCAAUUUGAGAGAAUCCCAAAAGAAUCAUUUUAAUUGAAGCCACCUAAUUACUUGUAAUUAAGAAGACUUAAAAUGCCAAAAAAAAAAAAU